ACGCUCGACACCUAGGAGGCAGCAGUGGGGAAUAUUGCACAAUGGGGGAAACCCUGAUGCAGCGAUGCCGCGUGAAGGAAGAAGUAUCUCGGUAUGUAAACUUCUAUCAGCAGGGAAGAAAAUGACGGUACCUGACUAAGAAGCCCCGGCUAACUACGUGCCGCAGCCGCGGUAAUCUGAGCGGGCUGGCAAGGC
rnacentral:rRNA from 1 species